AUCUAAAUAGUUUAAGAGUAAAAUAUUGGUUUGUGGUGCCGAUGAUAUAGUUGUAUUUUAGAUU
rnacentral:tRNA from 1 species